rnacentral:rRNA from 1 species
CCUACGGGAGGCAGCAGUGGGGAAUAUUGCACAAUGGGGGGAACCCUGAUGCAGCAACGCCGCGUGAAGGAAGAAGUAUUUCGGUAUGUAAACUUCUAUCGACAGGGAAGAAAAAAAUGACGGUACCUGAAUAAGAAGCCCCGGCUAAUUACGUGCCAGCAGCCGCGGUAAUACGUAAGGGGCAAGCGUUAUCCGGAUUUACUGGGUGUAAAGGGUGAGUAGGCGGCAGAGCAAGUCAUAUGUGAAAUUCCGGGGCUUAACCCCGGAGCUGCAUAAGAAACUGUUUUGCUAGAGUGCGGGAGAGGCAAGCGGAAUUCCCAGUGUAGCGGUGAAAUGCGUAGAUAUUGGGAAGAACACCGGUGGCGAAGGCGGCUUGCUGGACCGUAACUGACGCUGAGUCACGAAAGCGUGGGGAGCGAACAGGAUUAGAUACCCGGG